rnacentral:rRNA from 1 species
UACAGAGGUCCCAAGCGUUGUUCGGAAUUACUGGGCGUAAAGCGUGCGUAGGCGGCGGGGUAAGUCGGGUGUGAAAUCUCAGGGCUCAACCCUGAAAUUGCAUUCGAUACUACUCUGCUUGAGCUCUGAAGAGGAGGUUGGAAUUUACGGUGUAGCAGUGAAAUGCGUAGAUAUCGUAAGGAAGGCCGGUGGCGAAAGCGAACCUCUGGGCAGCAGCUGACGCUGUGGCACGAAGGCUAGGGGAGCAAACGGG